AACAGGUGUUCACCUCAGAGCUGAGGUGUGGCAGAAGCUGAGUGCUGUGAGGGAAAGGCGGCAGGCGGACUUCAAGCAGCCUCCGGGGACGCGUACAGGAAAGCAGAGUUUUGGUGAUGCUACUCAGUACAGUUGGAGGCAUUACUUCUGGAGCAGCCCUUGUAUAUGGCUAUUACAUUGUUAUAUCACAAUGCCUUUGGAAAAGCUAUUAGCUGAGCCUGGUGUUGUGUUGGAUACUGUGUGUGUGUGUAUAUAUAUAUAUACAUGUUAGUGUGUAUAUUUAUGUAAAUAGUAACUAAGCAUUAGCUACUUUGUUCUGUGUAAGAACGUGAUAGCAGGGACUGUCUUCUCAUUGUGGACACUUGAUAUAUAGCAGUAAUUGCUGUCUCUUGUUAUUGCACAAGCCAUCCACAGUCAACGUACAUAGGAAAUACAGUAGCUGUUUUAUACGUAAGGAGCUCAAAAUGCCAAAUGCAGUGAAAAGAAUAUAACUUUUUUUUUACACUGCAGUGAAUUACUGUUAGCACAGGGCCAGUCUUUGCACUGAUGGAGAUUAUGUAAACGUUCAGAGAUUCAUUAUCACUUUGUUAAGCAUUUCCAUCCACAUAUGAAUCUUGUUACAAAGGGGACAAGAAAUGAAUACAGCUGUUUUGCAAUGAGCCCACCUGGCACUUUUGCUGUGACAUUGUGCCAGCCAUACUCUCAAUAUACUUUACAGGUGUUUCAUACUUUCCUCUCUUCAUGCUUGAGGAGAGGGAAAUCUCACUGUCAGACUUACCAUCUGCUCUUGGUGUUAUCUUGACUGGUUUUAUGGCUCAGGAGGGAGCAUUGCUCCUUCAAUGAGUUAUGAAUCUCUAAUGCAGUUCAUUGUAUUGUUGUGAGGUUUUAUGGAAUCUGCCUGGUGGCCGUUCUGUUCUUGUCUUGGAGAUUCGGUUAUCUUUCUAAGGACGCAUGACUGUAUGUGUGCCGAGACUUCAGUAAAUAAACCACAGAGCCUCAUCACUGGGAUAGUCUUUACAAACGUUUUGUGAUCUCUCAUGAUCCAUAAACUUGCAUACUGUAAAAUAAAGCUUUCCUAUGAGUGAUC
rnacentral:lncRNA from 1 species